rnacentral:hammerhead_ribozyme from 1 species
GUACUGACGAAGAGUCCCAAACUAGGACGAAACGGUUGUCCAGUAC